UUAGGAAUCUUGCGCAAUGGGAGAAAUCCUGACGCAGCGAUGCCGCGUGAGGGAUGAAGGCCUUCGGGUUGUAAACCUCUUUUAGUUGGAACGAAAAAAAUGACGGUACCAGCAGAAAAAGCACCGGCUAACUCUGUGCCAGCAGCCGCGGUGAUACAGAGGGUGCAAGCGUUAUUCGGAAUUACUGGGCGUAAAGCGCGCGCGGGCUGUCUAGCAAGUCUGAUGUGAAAUCCCCUGCAAAAACAGGGACGUGCAUUAGAUACUACUAGACUAGAGUAUAGGAGGGGAGAGUGGAAUUCCUGGUGUAGAGGUGAAAUUCGCAGAUAUCAGGAGGAACAACGGUGGCGAAGGCGACUCUCUGGACUAUUACUGACGCUGAGGCGCGAAAGCGUGGGGAGCA
rnacentral:rRNA from 1 species